AUUGAACACUGGCGGCAGGCCUAACACAUGCAAGUCGAGCGGAGCGGCGGACGGGUGAGUAAUGCCUAGGAAUCUGCCUGGUAGUGGGGGAUAACGUCCGGAAACGGGCGCUAAUACCGCAUACUAUCAGAUGAGCCUAGGUCGGAUUAGCUAGUUGGUGGGGUCAAGGCCUACCAGGGCGACGAUCCGUAACUGUUCUGAGAGGAUGAUCAGUCACACUGGAACUGAGACACGGUCCAGACUCCGACGGGAGGCAGCAGUGGGGAAUAUUGCACAAUGGGCGCAAGCCUGAUGCAGCCAUGCCGCGUGUGUGAAGAAGGCCUUCGGGGUGUAAAGCACUUUCAGCGGGGAGGCGUUACCCGCAGAAGAAGCACCGGCUAACUCCGUGCCAGCAGCCGCGGUAAUAC
rnacentral:rRNA from 1 species